AGAGUUUGAUCCUGGCUCAGAUUGAACGCUGGCGGCAUGCCUUACACAUGCAAGUCGAACGGUAACGCGGGGCAACCUGGCGACGAGUGGCGAACGGGUGAGUAAUACAUCGGAACGUGCCCAGUAGUGGGGGAUAGCCCGGCGAAAGCCGNAUNAAUACCGCAUACGACCUACGGGUGAAANGCGGGGGGAUCGCAAGACCUCGCCCUAUUGGAGCGGCCNAUGUCANAUNAGCUAGUUUGGNGGGGUAAANCCCUACNANGGCGACGAUUUGUGGCUGGCCUGAGAGGACGACCAGCCACANUGGNACUGANACNCGCCNCACANUCUUAUGGGAGGCAGCNGUGG
rnacentral:rRNA from 1 species